GACGAACGCUGGCGGCGUGCCUAAUACAUGCAAGUUGAGCGCUGAAGGUUGGUACUUGUACCAACUGGAUGAGCAGCGAACGGGUGAGUAACGCGUGGGGAAUCUGCCUUUGAGCGGGGGACAACAUUUGGAAACGAAUGCUAAUACCGCAUAAAAACUUUAAGCACAAGGUUGAAGGUUGAAAGACGCAAUUGCAGCACUUAAAGAUGAUUUCGCGUUGUAUUAGCUAGUUGGUGAGGUAAAGGCUCACCAAGGCGAUGAUACAUAGCCGACCUGAGAGGGUGAUCGGCCACAUUGGGACUGAGACACGGCCCAAACUCCUACGGGAGGCAGCAGUAGGGAAUCUUCGGCAAUGGACGAAAGUCUGACCGAGCAACGCCGCGUGAGUGAAGAAGGUUUUCGGAUCGUAAAACUCUGUUGGUAGAGAAGAACGUUGGUGAGAGUGGAAAGCUCAUCAAGUGACGGUAACUACCCAGAAAGGGACGGCUAACUACGUG
rnacentral:rRNA from 1 species